rnacentral:ncRNA from 1 species
AAACCAAGGAAUAAAGCCGCGCACGUUACGGUGAGAACAGGCAGAUCGUAAAGACGCCGUCAAUCCAUCCUUGGAGGCUCGUGCCGCGCCAUCCUUGGCGCGGACGCUUU